rnacentral:rRNA from 1 species
GACGAACGCUGGCGGCGUGCUUAACACAUGCAAGUCGAACGGAAAGGCCCUGCUUUUGUGGGGUGCUCGAGUGGCGAACGGGUGAGUAACACGUGAGUAACCUGCCCUUGACUUUGGGAUAACUUCAGGAAACUGGGGCUAAUACCGGAUAGGAGCUCCUGCUGCAUGGUGGGGGUUGGAAAGUUUCGGCGGUUGGGGAUGGACUCGCGGCUUAUCAGCUUGUUGGUGGGGUAGUGGCUUACCAAGGCUUUGACGGGUAGCCGGCCUGGGAGGGUGACCGGCCACAUUAGGACUAAGAUACGGCCCAGACUCCAACGGGAGGCAGCAGUGGGGAGUAUUGCACAAUGGGCGGGAGCCUGAUGAGGCAACGCCGCGUGCGGGAUGACGGCCUUCGGGUUGUAAACCGCUUUCGCCUGUGACGAAGCGUGAGUGACGGUAAUGGGUAAAGAAGCACCGGCUAACUACGUG